GCCCCUCGGCCCAAUCCAAUCGCCCAUACUCCACAACCCUCCCUCCCUCCUCGAUCUCUCUCCCUCAGCCACCACAAACCCUAGGUCCUCCCCUUCUGCCUUGCUCUCCACCGCGCCGCCUCCUCCUCCCCUUCACCAUUCCCUCCAGCGGCAGGAACAGGGAGACAACGGCGGCGCUCGAUUUGAUCCGCCCCGCUCCCCUCCCUCUCCACUGCGCCUCGGCCUCGGCCGCCCCGUGCUCUGCCGGCGCCCGUCGGCCUCGAUCCGGCCUCGGCAGGAGGAGCUCACCCUCGAGACAGGAGGAGGGGCGCAGCAGGAUACAGGAGCAUGGCCUUCUUCUCGCGCUGCAGCAGCCGGCCUUGUCCUGCUCGAGGAGGAGGAGCAGCAGGAGGGGCGCACCCAUCCACAAAGGUAGCCAUCGUCGAGGGCUUCUUACACCUGAACCUCGAUCUCCAUGGUGCUGGCGUCCAGCAACUUGAGUUCAAGGGAAGGAGAGGAGGAUGACGCCCAGACAUGGAGAGGAACAGCAGCAGCUCAAGGGGAUUACGUGCUUUGCUGCCCGAGCUGCAGCUGGUUAUCCUCCGCCCUGUGUUGGAUAAUCUUAGAGAGUAAAUCCUGCCGUAACUCAUGACUCGGGACCAAUACAGAAAAAUGAAGCAAGACAAGCUGGAGAAGCUCGCACGGACAUCCAAUUUCUUGUACCACUCAACUGAGCCGAGUUACUUGUGGAGACUAUAAGAAGAAUUUUUAGGAAGAGUUUGAUCAACAAGAUCAAGGUGAAUUAUAUCUCUCUUGAACACAGUCACACCUAUUCCUGCAUUUUCGGAUUUUUCUGUGUAGUAGAUCACAUGCCAUGAUUUUGUACUCCUCUCACCCACUGAGCAAAGCUACAUUUGUAAAUGAAGGUCUUAGAAGUUUUUGUUUUUACCUUUUGGUCUGAUAGAUCAGUAUAUGGUAUUGGUCAUGUGAACAGAGGCUGUCCGUUCUCCUUCUGAUAGAUCAGUACAUGGAAUUAUUAUGUAUAGAUGACCCUUCCAAGAUGAAUAUUUGAGUGCUCUUGUUUGAAUUUUUUUGUUCACAUGAGCAGGCUGACACCCAUAGUUGUUUGGCAUCAAAUGCAGAAGAUACACAUCCUAAGAUUGAAGCAAUGCUACCUGAACCAAAGGGUUGUACGCCCACCAUUAUUAAUAUUCCAUACUAUUCGUGUUCUUCAGAUCCCAAUAAUUUAUCCGGUCUUGCUUUUGACAUAAAACACAAGUACAGGCAAAGAGAAGACGAGGUCGAACCCCAACACGGGAAGGUAUCUUGGCACCAAACCAUCAUGAGGAGAAGGGGAUGUGUUGAUGUACAUGAGGUGUUAAUAAAGUUUCACAUUCUUUGUUCUGGUAGAUUUGGUGUGUUGGGUUGCCAUGUUUGCUGUAUUUAUUUUCCUUAGAUUGCUCUGGUGUUUUUGGUGCAAAUUGACCAGGGAGGGCCUAAGAUUUUGUCAAGUUUUUGUCAGGUUAUUCUAUGUAUAGGACUGCGCUUCUAUGUGUCGUUUCCUUCAAACUGUCAUUGCAACAAAAGAUGAAGGGUGUCUUGAUGAUCAGUAGACCAGUGUGUGAUACCGCCUAUUGUAGUUCUAUUGCUAUGCAUACAUGGGCAAUAAAUGCAAGUAAUAUAGUUUUGAUGAUGUCUGAGUGUAUCUUGUGUAUGUGUAGAUAAGCAGCCCUGUUCAGAAGUGCUUUAUAGAGGUCAUGUAAGCUUUCUAGACAUACAUGUUGUUUCCAGUCUCUCUCGGCUUCCCCAAUCCUAGAGAUUAAAGGCGGCCAAGGCCAAUGAGUACGAGGUCACAGAGUACAAGGGUGACGUGAUGAACCCCUCCGCGGAGGAGUUCAUGCCGCUCUCCCGCCGCCUGUCGGCCGACGCGCCCGUCUACAUCCCGCCCGCGAUCGACUACUAUGCUCCUCCGUCCACCGACUCUGUCCGUGCAGGUCGCCAGUUUCCUUCCGCCCCAACCUUCUCCAUUGUCUCCCCAACUGGUACAUGUGUGAUCUUCAUGGAGCUAGCCAUCAUUGGAUUUGGUAAUACAUAAUCACUUAUUCAGAGAGCCCAAGGUGAGAAGGGACGAGCAUCUAGAACACCACCACCUACUAAUCAGUGAGCUACUAUCUGUCUUUGAAUGAGUUACUUAACAAGAGAAGGAGUUUCCUACCUUUCUUAUGCAAAUCUGGAAUUCCUUUAUGGCAUGAUCAUGUGAAAAAAGUACCUUGAUGCAGUAAUGGAUUUGAUUAUCACUGGUUACUCUGUUUUCACGAAUUACUACCCAACUGUAUGUAGAUAGCCGACAAUGUUAUUGUUCAAAUGUACUCGAGCCAGGUUUUCGGUGUUUCAUUGCAACCAAAAGAAUUGGUAAUAUUGUUUUGAUGAAAACAUGGUCACACUUGUCGAUGUUGUAGUGGCAUAGGAAUUUUUCCCUAAGAUCCACUAUGCAACCAAUCAAGAGAUCCACUCUGAUUGAGGAGGUUGGGGAGAGUCUAGUGCUGGAAGGAAUCCCGUCACAUGGCACCAGGCGGACAGUAGUCGAGGUGGCGCUGCAGGAGGCCAUAGGUGUGAGCGCCAAAGGGUGGAUCUGCGGCGCGGCUAAAGCGGUAGUGAGAAGGGGCAGCUCGCCUCCCACUCCUAAGCUGUCGACGGGGAAGAUGAAUCCGCAGGGUCCUGGUUGGAACAAGAGAUUGAGGAUUGGAGCCUCUGCCCCAAGCUUGACACCUUGCCCACCCCGCAUAAGCGCUUUUGAGAAGGCGGUGAGGGUGUUCAUAAAAAACCCAACUGAAGAUGAGCCGUGGAUCAUAAUUUAGAGAGUCAAUUCCCUGGUACCAAAAACUGUAUGGAGUUUGCGCUGAAGAUGCAGACUGGAAGUGUACUACACUCUGAAUUACACUGGGUGUGUCCAAAAAAAUACACCUGCAGCAUACAUUAUUGAUUCUUGGUGGUACCUUGUGCAUUGGAAAGUUGUAUUUUAGCAACAAAUUCGUAUGGUAAAAAUGUCUUGCCUUGUGCAAUGCAGCCCAUGUUGUGGGAUGGUUGAUUCGAACAAUAGUAUUUUGAGCAAUUAGUGUCAUGCAGGUGAAAUGACUAAAGUCAGCUUGCCAUACAGCAAGGAUAACCUGAUUACAUGGCUGCUGUGGAUUAUGGAUUUAGUUCCAUAUGAAAUGACAAAUUGGAGAUUUGAUUUGAAAUUA